rnacentral:rRNA from 1 species
CAAGGAAUUUUGCGCAAUGGACGAAAGUCUGACGCAGCAACGCCGCGUGGGGGAUGAAGGCCCUCGGGUUGUAAACCCCUUUUGCGAGGGACGAAGAUCUGACGGUACCUCGCGAAUAAGCCACGGCUAACUACGUGCCAGCAGCCGCGGUAAUACGUAGGUGGCAAGCGUUGUCCGGAUUUACUGGGCGUAAAGCGCGCGCAGGCGGACUGAUCAGUCCGGGGUGAAAUCUCACGGCUCAACUGUGAGCGGUCCCCGGAUACUGUCAGUCUUGAGGUGUCUAGAGGAGAGCGGAAUUCCCGGUGUAGUGGUGGAAUGCGUAGAUAUCGGGAAGAACACCAGUGGCGAAAGCGGCUCUCUGGGGACCACCUGACGCUGAGGCGCGAAAGCGUGGGGAGCGAACCGG